rnacentral:rRNA from 1 species
AUUGAACACUGGCGGCAUGCCUUACACAUGCAAGUCGAGCGGCAGCGCGCGGGCAACCCUGGCGGCGAGCGGCGGACGGGUGAGUAAUACAUCGGAACGUGUCCUUUCGUGGGGGAUAACCAGUCGAAAGACUGGCUAAUACCGCAUGAGAUCUCACGAUGAAAGCGGGGGACCGCAAGGCCUCGCGCGAUUGGAGCGGCCGAUGUCGGAUUAGCUAGUUGGCGGGGUAAAAGCCCACCAAGGCGACGAUCCGUAGCUGGUUUGAGAGAACGACCAGCCACACUGGGACUGAGACACGGCCCAGACUCCUACGGGAGGCAGCAGUGGGGAAUUUUGGACAAUGGGGGCAACCCUGAUCCAGCCACGCCGCGUGUGUGAAGAAGGCCUUCGGGUUGUAAAGCACUUUCGGCCGGAACGAAAUCGCGCGGAUUAAUAACCCGCGUGGAUGACGGUACCGGAAGAAGAAGCACCGGCUAACUACGUGCCAGCCGCCGCCGUAA